UCAUGGCUCAGAUUGAACGCUGGCGGCAGGUUAACACAUGCAAGUCCGAGCCGGAGGGUGGCUUGCACCUUAGCUUAGCGGCGGACGGGUGAGUAAUGCUUAGGAAUCUGCCUAUUAGUGGGGGACAACAUUCCGAAAGAAUGCUAAUACCGCAUACGCCCUAAGGGGAAAGCAGGGGAUCUUCGGACCUUGCGCUAAUAGAUGAGCCUAAGUCGGAUUAGCUAGUUGGUGGGGUAAAGGCCUACCAAGGCGACGAUCUGUAGCGGGUCUGAGAGGAUGAUCCGCCACACUGGGACUGAGACACGGCCCAGACUCCUACGGGAGGCAGCAGUGGGGAAUAUUGGACAAUGGGCGGAAGGAUCCAGCCAUGCCGCGUGUGUGAAGAAGGCCUUUUGGUUGUAAAGCACUUUAAGCGAGGAGGAGGCUACUAGUAUUAAUACUACUGGAUAGUGGACGUUACUCGCAGAAUAAGCACCGCUAACUCUGUGCCAGCAGCCGCGGUAAUACAGAGGGGUGCGAGCGUUAAUCGGAUUUACUGGGCGUAAAAGGGUGCGUAAGGGGCUUUUUUAAGUCGGGAUGUGAAAUCCCCCGAGCUUAACUUUGGGAUUGCAUUCGAUACUGGGGAAGCGAGAGAAUGGGAGAGGAUGGUAGAAUUCCAGGUGUAGCGGUGAAAUGCGUAAGAUCUGGAGGAAUACCAUGGCAAGGAGCCAUCUGGCCUAAUACUGACGCUAGGACAAAGAUGGGGAGCAAACAGGAUUAGAUACCCUGGUAGUCCAUGCCGUAAACGAUGUCUACUAGCCGUUGGGGCCUUUGAGGCUUUAGUGGCGCAGCUAACGCGAUAAGUAACCGCCUAGGGAGUACGGUCGCAGACUAAAACUCAAUGAUUGACGGGGGCCCGCACAGCGGUGGAGAUGUGGUUUAAUUCAUGCACGCGAAACCUUACCUGGUCUUGACAUCAGACAACUUUCCAGAGAUGGAUCGGUGCCUUCGGGAACCCUGAUACACGUGCUGCAUGGCUGUCGUCAGCUCGGGUCGUGAGAUGUUGGGUUAAGUCCCGCAACGAGCGCAACCCUUUUCCUUAUUUGCCAGCACUUCGGGUGGGAACUUUAAGGAUACUGCCAGUGACAAACUGGAGGAAGGCGGGGACGACGUCAAGUCAUCAUGGCCCUUACGACCAGGGCUACACACGUGCUACAAUGGUCGGUACAAAGGGUUGCUACCUCGCGAGAGGAUGCUAAUCUCAAAAGACCGAUCGUAGUCCCGGAUUGGAGUCUGCAACUCGACUCCAUGAAGUCGGAAUGCGCUAGUAAUGCGCGGAUCAGAAUGCCGCGGUGAAUACGUUCCCGGGCCUUGUACACACCGCCCGUCACACCAUGGGAGUUUGUUGCACCAGAAGUAGCUAGCCUAACUGCAAAGAGGGCGGUUACCACGGUGUGGCCGAUGACUGGGGUG
rnacentral:rRNA from 1 species